rnacentral:lncRNA from 1 species
GUCUGAGCCCCCAGCUCCUUUAGAUCAGGCUUUAUUACUGCUGCGUGGGACAGCUUGGUUUUGUUUGACUCUUUGAGAAGAAUAGUGCCUAGGUUGGAGACAGGAGGCGGGGAGAGACUGAGGAGGGGUACUCUAGCUCAGCUGUGGCCCUUUUGAGAGGUGAAAGGAAGAUUUAUGAUGCCACUUGUCAACUACAAGAUGGAUGGAGGUGCCCAGACUGUGAACUCCCGUGAAAUGAAGGUUAUGAUUAUCUGAGUAGGCUGAACCAUCGGUGAAAAGGAGGCCAAGCAUCUCAAAAAUAGGACACGUGAGAGUAUGGAGCCAAUGUGACACUCAGAUUUGACACAUACAGAAGCGUGAAAAACUCUUGUGUGACUGGGAUAGCUCCUCUGCAAUGAGAACAUGCCUGGGAUAAUGUACUGAAAAGAUGUGAGAAAUACAUGAAGCAGAGUCCAGUCAUCCCAGCCAAGAACCAGCUGUGAAUGUAACCGCAUGACUUUGAGGCAAGUCCAGACCAAGAACAAAGAACCACUGGUCUUAAAGACAGACCUGCAGAUUCCUGAGCUAAAUAAAAGUUUAUUGUUGAAAGGCACUGAGUUGUUUUUG